UUAACACAUGCAAGUCGAACGAUGAACCCACUUCGGUGGGGGAUUAGUGGCGAACGGGUGAGUAACACGUGGGCAAUCUGCCCUUCACUCUGGGACAAGCCCUGGAAACGGGGUCUAAUACCGGAUAACACCGGCUCUCGCAUGGGAGCUGGUUAAAAGCUCCGGCGGUGAAGGAUGAGCCCGCGGCCUAUCAGCUUGUUGGUGGGGUAAUGGCCUACCAAGGCGACGACGGGUAGCCGGCCUGAGAGGGCGACCGGCCACACUGGGACUGAGACACGGCCC
rnacentral:rRNA from 1 species